rnacentral:rRNA from 1 species
AUGCAUGUCUAAGUACAAGCCGAUUUAAGGCGAAACCGCGAAUGGCUCAUUAAAUCAGCUAUGAUUCAUUGGAUCUGUACCCACACUUACUUGGAUAACUGUGGUAAUUCUAGAGCUAAUACAUGCACCACGUCUCUGACCGCAAGGGAAGAGCGCUUUUAUUAGUUCAAAACCGGUCGGGCCUCGGUCCGUCACCCCACCGUGUUGAAUCUGAAUAACUUGUCGCUGAGCGCACGGUCUCCGCACCGGCGCCGCCUCUUUCAAGUGUCUGCCUUAUCAGCUUUCGAUUGUAGGUUAUACGCCUACAAUGGCUAUAACGGGUAACGGGGAAUCAGGGUUCGAUUCCGGAGAGGGAGCCUGAGAAACGGCUACCACAUCUAAGGAAGGCAGCAGGCACGCAAAUUACCCACUCCCGGCACGGGGAGGUAGUGACGAAAAAUAACGAUGCGAGACUCAUCCGAGGCCUCGCAAUCGGAAUGAGUACACUUUAAAUCCUUUAACGAGGAUCUAUUGGAGGGCAAGUCUGGUGCCAGCAGCCGCGGUAAUUCCAGCUCCAAUAGCGUAUAUUAAAGUUGUUGCGGUUAAAAAGCUCGUAGUUGGAUUUCAGUUCUGGACUGACGGUUCACCGCCCGGUGAUCACUGUCACGCU